rnacentral:rRNA from 1 species
UACAGAGGGCUCAAGCGUUGUUCGGAUUCAUUGGGCGUAAAGGGCGCGUAGGCGGCGCGGUAAGUCGGGUGUGAAAUCUUGGAGCUUAACUCCGAAACUGCAUUCGAUACUGCCGUGCUUGAGGACUGGAGAGGAGACUGGAAUUUACGGUGUAGCAGUGAAAUGCGUAGAGAUCGUAAGGAAGACCAGUGGCGAAGGCGGGUCUCUGGACAGUUCCUGACACUGAGGCACGAAGGCCAGGGGAGCAAACGGG